rnacentral:rRNA from 1 species
UACGUAGGGGGCAAGCGUUGUCCGGAAUCAUUGGGCGUAAAGCGCGUGUAGGCGGCUAGGUAAGUCUGCUCUGAAAGCCCGGGGCUCAACCCCGGGAGGCGGGUGGAUACUGUCUAGCUCGAGUCCGGAAGAGGAGUGUGAAAUUCCUGGUGUAGCGGUGAAAUGCGCAGAUAUCAGGAAGAACACCGGUGGCGAAGGCGGGUCUCUGGGCCGAUACUGACGCUGAGGAGCGAAAGCGUGGGGAGCAAACAGG